CCUACGGGAGGCAGCAGUGGGGAAUAUUGCACAAUGGGGGGAACCCUGAUGCAGCGACGCCGCGUGGAUGAAGGAGCACCUCGGUUCGUAAACCCCUAUCGGCAGGGAAGAAAGGCGGGCGGGGCCCGUCUGGACGGUACCUGACUAAGACGCCCCGGCUAACUCCGUGCCAGCAGCCGCGGUAAUACGUAGGGGGCAAGCGUUAUCCGGAUUCACUGGGGGUAAAGGGAGCGUAGACGUCUACGCAAGUCUGGAGUGAAAGCCCGGGGCCCAACCCCGGAACUGCACUGGAAACUGCGGCGCUGGAGUACGGGAGGGGCAGGCGGAAUUCCUGGUGUAGCGGUGAAAUGCGUAGAUAUCAGGCAGAACCCCGAUUGCGAAGGCAGCAUGCCGGCUUCCGACUGACGCUGAAGCACGAAAGCGUGGGGAUCGAACAGGAUUAGAUACCCCUGUAGUC
rnacentral:rRNA from 1 species